rnacentral:rRNA from 1 species
UACGGAGGGGGCUAGCGUUGUUCGGAAUUACUGGGCGUAAAGCGCACGUAGGCGGCUUUGUAAGUUAGAGGUGAAAGCCCAGGGCUUAACCCUGGAAUUGCCUUUAAGACUGCAUCGCUAGAAUCGUGGAGAGGUGAGUGGAAUUCCGAGUGUAGAGGUGAAAUUCGUAGAUAUUCGGAAGAACACCAGUGGCGAAGGCGACUCACUGGACACGGUAUUGACGCUGAGGUGGCGAAAGCGUGGGGAG